CUCUGUGCCUGCUGCCAUCCACGUAAGAUGUGACUUGCUCCUCCUUGCCUUCCGUCAUGAUUGUGAGGCGCUCCCAGCCAUGUGGAACUGACGAAACACUGGAACUCUCCAGAAUAAAUUGGUACCUGGGUCUCUUCUGAAGUGAGCUGUUCUUAGGAGCUUCAAAUGAGGGUCUUUGAAGCCACAUGAAAAUUGAUGAGUGGUUGUAACAUCCAAGCUACCAAAUCAGACACACUUGUAAUUGUUCCCAAUAGUUUCUUAGCAGGCAUUUUGGAGGAAAAGAUUUGGAUCAGAAAUUCAGAAAUUACCUGGGCUCACAAAAAUAUGCCCCUCCAGCACCAUCCUGCAUUCUGCUUCCAAGAUACAUGAGCUUUCUGAAGAGCUGGUGAGAAUGUUGAAACUUCCUGGCCUUGGUUUCCCAUCUGGUAAAAUGAGGAAGACCAAAGCUUAACUCUCACAAGGAAUAUGCAGAUGAGGAAACCGAAGUUCUUGGGGUAACACGACUUGUGAAACUGCAUGCUACUCCUCAGUGGCAGGGUGGGGACUCUGGACAGAGGAACUGGCAAGGCCUUCUAGACCUUUGACGUGCAUAAACUGGCAUGUUUACAGAAUAACGAGGAAAACAAAGUGAAACAAAAGACCGUACCCAGGUGCUAAGAAUUUAUUACCCGCACAUCAAAAAACUUAUCCACCACGAUCAAGUUGGCUUCAUCCCUGGGAUGCAAAGCUGGCUCUGCAUAUGCAAAUCAAUAAACAUAAUCCAUCACAUAAACAGAACCAAAGACAAAAACCACAUGGUUAUCUCAAUAGAUGCAGAAAAGGCUUUUGAUAAAAUUCAACAUCCCUUCAUGUUAAAAACUCAAUAAACUAGAUAUUGAUGGAACAUAUCUCAAAAUAAAAGAGCUGUUUAUGACAAACCCACAGCCAAUAUCAUAUCGAAUGGGCAAAAGCUGGAAGCAUUCCCUUUGAAUACUAGUACAAGGUAAGGAUGCCCUCUUCUCACCACUCUAUUCAACAUAGUAUUGAAGUUUUGGCCAGGGCAAUCGGGCAAGAGAAAGACAAAAAGCAUAUUCUAAUAGGAAGAGAGAGAGUCAAAUUGUCUCUAUUUGCAGACAACAUGAUUGUAUAUUUAGAAAACCCCAUCUUCUCACCCCAAAAACUCCUUAAGCUGGUGAGCAACUUCAGCAAAGUCUCAGGAUACAAAAUCAAUGUGCUAAAAUCACAAGCAUUCCUUUACACCAACAAUGGACAAGCAGGGAGCCAAAUCAUGAAUGAACUCCCAUUCACAAUUGCUACAAAGAGAAUAAAAUACCUAGGAAUACAGCUAACAAGGGAUGUGAAGGACCUUUUCAAGGAGAACUACAAACUACUGCUCAAGGAAAUAAGAGAGGACACAAACAAAUGGAAAAACAUUCCAUCCUCAUGGAUAGGAAGAAUCAAUAUCAUGAAAAUGGCCAUACUGUCCAACGUAAUUUAUAGAUUCAAUGCUAUCCUCAUCAAGCUACCAUUGACGUUCUUCACAGAAUUAGAAAAAAACUACUUUAAAUUUCAUAUGGAAUCAAAGAAGACCCUGUAUAGCUAAGACAAACCUAAGCAAAAAGAACAAAGCUGGAGGCAUCAAGCUACCUGACUUCAAACUAUACUACAGGCUACAGUAACCAAAACAGCAUGGUACUGGUACCAAAACAAACAUAUAGACCAAUGGAACAGAACAGAGACCUCAGAAAUAACACCACACAUCUAAAACCAUCUGAUCUUUGACAAACCUGACAAAAACAAGCGAUCGGGAAAUGAUCUCCUAUUCAUUAAAUGUUGCUGGGAAAACUGUCUAGCCACGUGCAGAAAACUGAAACUGGACCACCCUUCCUUAUACCUUAUACAAAAAUUAACUUAGGAUGGAUUAAAGACUUAAAUGUAAAACCCCAAACCGUAAAAACCCUAGAAGAAAACCUAGGCAAUACCAUUCAGGACAUAGGCAUGGGCAAAGACUUCAUAACGAAAACGCCAAAAGCAAUUGCAGCAAAAGCCAUAAUUGACAAAUGGGAUGUAAUUAAAUUAAAGAGCUUCUGCACAGCAAAAGAAGCUAUCAUCAGAGUGAACAGGCAACCUACAGAAUGGGAGAAAAAUUUUGCAAUCUAUCCAUCCAACAAAGGUCUAAUAUCCAGCAUCUAUAAUGAACUUAAACAAA
rnacentral:antisense_RNA from 1 species